rnacentral:rRNA from 1 species
GAUGAACGCUGGCGGCGUGCCUAAUACAUGCAAGUCGAACGAGUUCUGAUUAUUGAAAGGUGCUUGCAUCUUGAUUUAAUUUUGAACGAGUGGCGGACGGGUGAGUAACACGUGGGUAACCUGCCCUUAAGUGGGGGAUAACAUUUGGAAACAGAUGCUAAUACCGCAUAAAUCCAAGAACCGCAUGGUUCUUGGCUGAAAGAUGGCGUAAGCUAUCGCUUUUGGAUGGACCCGCGGCGUAUUAGCUAGUUGGUGAGGUAACGGCUCACCAAGGCAAUGAUACGUAGCCGAACUGAGAGGUUGAUCGGCCACAUUGGGACUGAGACACGGCCCAAACUCCUACGGGAGGCAGCAGUAGGGAAUCUUCCACAAUGGACGCAAGUCUGAUGGAGCAACGCCGCGUGAGUGAAGAAGGCUUUCGGGUCGUAAAACUCUGUUGUUGGAGAAGAAUGGUCGGCAGAGUAACUGUUGUCGGCGUGACGGUAUCCAACCAGAAAGCCACGGCUAACU